UAGUUGUGUCCUAAGUCAAACUUUUCUAACUGCAAUCAAGUUUAUAGAAAAAGCGCACCAACAUCUAUAUGAUAACAAAUAAGUAUACCAUGAAAACAUAUUUCAUGGUUGAUUUAAUGAAACUAAUUUGAUGUUGUAGAUGUUGGUGUAUUUUUCUAUGAUCUUGGUCAAAGUUAUCUAAGUUUGACUUAGGAAAAACCUAA
rnacentral:pre_miRNA from 1 species